rnacentral:rRNA from 1 species
UGGUUUGUCGCGUUGUUCGUGAAAUCUCACGGCUUAACUGUGAGCGUGCGGGCGAUACGGGCAGACUUGAGUACUGCAGGGGAGACUGGAAUUCCUGGUGUAGCGGUGGAAUGCGCAGAUAUCAGGAGGAACACCGGUGGCGAAGGCGGGUCUCUGGGCAGUAACUGACGCUGAGGAGCGAAAGCGUGGGGAGCGAACAGGAUUAGAUACCCUGGUAGUCCACGCCGUAAACGGUGGGUACUAGGUGUGGGUUUCCUUCCUUGGGAUCCGUGCCGUAGCUAACGCAUUAAGUACCCCGCCUGGGGAGUACGGCCGCAAGGCUAAAACUCAAAGAAAUUGACGGGGGCCCGCACAAGCGGCGGAGCAUGUGGAUUAAUUCGAUGCAACGCGAAGAACCUUACCUGGGUUUGACAUGCACAGGACGCCGGCAGAGAUGUCGGUUCCCUUGUGGCCUGUGUGCAGGUGGUGCAUGGCUGUCGUCAGCUCGUGUCGUGAGAUGUUGGGUUAAGUCCCGCAACGAGCGCAACCCUUGUCUCAUGUUGCCAGCGGGUAAUGCCGGGGACUCGUGAGAGACUGCCGGGGUCAACUCGGAGGAAGGUGGGGAUGACGUCAAGUCAUCAUGCCCCUUAUGUCCAGGGCUUCACACAUGCUACAAUGGCCGGUACAAAGGGCUGCGAUGCCGCGAGGUUAAGCGAAUCCUUUUAAAGCCGGUCUCAGUUCGGAUCGGGGUCUGCAACUCGACCCCGUGAAGUCGGAGUCGCUAGU